AGAAAUCAACCGAGAUUCCGCAAGUAGUGGCGAGCGAACGCGGAAGAGGCCAAACCGGCUGUAGAAAUAUGGCCGGGGUAAGGACAGCAAAAUGUAUGUUGGACCCUAGCAGAAGGGCAUGGGACGGCCCACCACAGAGAGUGAUAGUCUCGUAUGCGAAAGGGAAAAACAGCAGGCUGUAUCCAGAGUACCACUGGACACGUGAAACCCGGUGGGAAUAUGGGGGGACCACCCUCCAAGCCUAAAUACUCCCUGGUGACCGAUAGUGAAGAGUACUGUGAAGGAAAGGUGAAAAGAACCCCGGGAGGGGAGUGAAAAGAACCUGAAACCUUGUGCUUACAAGCACACAGAGCACGUCAAGGUGUGAUGUGGUACCUUUUGUAGAAUGGUCCGGCGAGUGAAUGUAACGAGCAAGGUUAAGCACUUUAGGUGUGGAGCCGAAGCGAAAGCAAGUCUGAAAAGGGCGAGAAGUUCGUUGUAUUCGACCCGAAACCGGGUGACCUAGCCAUGUCCAGGCUGAAGUGAAGGUAAAACUUCAUGGAGGGCCGAACCCACUCCCGUUGAAAUGGUAGGGGAUGAGGUGUGGCUAGCGGAGAAAUUCCAAUCGAACCCGGAGAUAGCUGGUUCUCUCCGAAAUAGCUUUAGGGCUAGCCUCGGAAUAGAUUACUGGAGGUAAAGCACUGAAUGGGCUAGGGGCCGAGAGGUUACUGAACCCUAUCAAACUAAGAAUGCCGGAUAAUGAUAGUCGGGAGUCAGACAGUGUGAGAUAAGUUUCAUUGUCGAAAGGGAAACAGCCCAGACCCACAGCUAAGGUCCCAAAGUAUCGUUAAGUGGAAAAGGAUGUGGAACUGCCCAGACAACCAGGAUGUUGGCUCAGAAGCAGCCAUACAUUCAAAGAGUGCGUAAUAGCUCACUGGUCGAGUGGUUCUGCGCCGAAAAUUUAACGGGGCUAAACGAUACACCGAAGCUUGGGAUGCAGCAUUGGCUGCAUGGUAGGAGAGCGUUCUGUACGGGGUGAAGUCAUAGCGGAAGCGGUGGUGGACUGUACAGAAGAGAGAAUGCCGGAAUGAGUAGCGAGAUUUAUGUGAGAAUCAUAAAGGCCGAAAGACUAAGGAUUUAGAAGGAAGGUUCGUCCGCUUCUAGUUAGCCGGGAGCUAAGGCGAGGCCGAAAGGCGUAGUCGAUGCACAUACGGUGGAGAUUCCGUAGCCGCCUCUUAAUUUAAGCAAAGGGACACUUUCAAAGGGAAUGACCCGGGCGUUGGUAGCCCCGGGCGAAAGGGACCGAAAUUAGAGUAGGGAAGCAUUUCUGGAGGAAGGCGAGAAAAGCUUUGCGGAUAGAGAGAGGCGCCCGUACCGCAAACCGACACAGGUAGUCAGGAAGAGGAUUCUAAGGCCAACGGGAGAAGGGUAGUUAAGGAACUCGGCAAAUUGACCCCGUAACUUCGGAAUAAGGGGUGCUCCUGAAAAGGAGCCGCAGUGAAUAGGCCCAGGCGACUGUUUAUCAAAAACACAGCUCUCUGCUAAAUCGAAAGAUGAAGUAUAGGGGGUGACACCUGCCCGGUGCUGGAAGGUUAAGAGGAAGGGUGCAAGCUCUGAAUUGAAGCCCCAGUAAACGGCGGCCGUAACUAUAACGGUCCUAAGGUAGCGAAAUUCCUUGUCGGGUAAGUUCCGACCCGCACGAAUGGUGUAACGAUCUGGGCACUGUCUCAACUACCCACCCGGCGAAAUUGUAGUACCGGUGAAGAUGCCGGUUACCCGCGGCAAGACGGAAAGACCCCAUGGAGCUUUACUGUAGCCUGAUAUUGGGUUUCGGUAUUCUAUGUACAGGAUAGGCGGGAGACUGGGAACCGAUGGCGUCAGCUGUCGGGGAGUCACCCUUGGGAUACCGCUCUUAGAGUACUGGAAUUCUAACCUGCGGCCGUGAAUCCGGCCGGGGGACAUUGUCAGGUGGGCAGUUUGACUGGGGCGGUCGCCUCCAAAAAGGUAACGGAGGCGCUCAAAGGUUCGCUCAGCACGGACGGAAACCGUGCCUCUGAGUGCAAACGCAAAAGCGAGCCUAACUGCGAGGCUGACGGGCCGAGCAGUAACGAAAGUUGGAGUUAGUGAUCCGGCGGUAUGUGAGUGGAAAUGCC
rnacentral:rRNA from 1 species